AGCGAACGCUGGCGGUAGGCCUAACACAUGCAAGUCGAACGGCAGCACAGUAAGCGCUUGCUCUUACGGGUGGCGAGUGGCGGACGGGUGAGGAAUACAUCGGAAUCUACUUUUUCGUGGGGUAUAACGUAGGGAAACUUACGCUACUACCGCAUACGACCUACGAGUGAAAGCCGGGGAUCGUCGGACCUUGCGGGAUUGUAUGACCCGAUGUCGGAUUAGCUAGUGGGCGGGGGAAAGGCCCACCAAGGCGACGAUCCGUAGCGGGUCUGAGAGGAUGGUCAGCCACCCUGGAACUGAGACAGGGUACAGACUCCUACGGGAGGCAGCAGUGGGGAAUAUUGGACAAUGGGCGAAAGCCUGAUCCAGCCAUACCGCGUGAGGGAAGAAGGCGUUCGGGUUGGAAAGCCCUUUUGUUGGGAAAGAAGAGCAGCCGGUUAAUACCCCGCUGUUGUGACGGUACCCAAAGAAUAAGCACCGGCUAACUUCGUG
rnacentral:rRNA from 1 species